CCCACCCCCGACCCCAACCAACCCCCUCUGCCGGCGGCGCGACCUCCCCAGAUCCUCCGACGGCGCGACCUCUCCAGAUCCUCCGGCGGCGCGGCCUCCCAUAUCCUCGCCGCCGCGCCCAAGCUUGGGCGCCGACCUAGCAGCCCCGUGCGCCGCCCUGCCACUUCCCUGCGCCGCCGCCUGCGCACAACCGCCGUCGCGACCCACCUCCCCGCACCGCCACCUUCCCACCACCGCCGCCACCGGGAUCCACGCACCUCCACGCGUCGCCGGUGCCUGUGCUCGUCGGCGUGCCCGCGUUCUUCCCCAUUGACGAGAUCGAGCGAGUGCCUCCGGUUCCUCCGCCAAGUCUCCUCCCCCACGCGAUGCAGGCCUACCCGAGGCGCCGCGCGCCAGAAACCCACGGCUGUGUCUCCCGCCCUCCGGCUCUUCCCGACUUCCCCCGGUGAGGCUCCACAUCCACCACACCGCCUCAUCCCGGUGGGGCUCUUCCACCGCGGUGCCUAGGCCGUUUAAUGACAAAGCCCAGGUAAGUUCAUAGGCGCAAUGUCCCUCGGAUCCCGCUGCAACCAUGCUAUUCUCGCCAGCGCACCAUCCAUGACGGGCGCCAUUUUCUGUUUCUUCACUACAUGUGUGAAUCCUCUCCUCAAAUAGCCAGUUGAUGUAGACCGCGUCAUCUUAAAGGAAAGCCAGUGACAAUCUGUCGAGUGAAACCAGUGCACUGUCAAGCGAACAUACCUGUGCAGCUGACAGUUUGGCCGGCGGCAGCAACAUUUCUUGGCACGUGGGUGUUGGUUUUGGCGGGCAAGCAAGCAGCAACAAGCAGCUGCAGGCAAAAGGUGUUUGAUUGGCUCCUCUGACUCCCUUCGCCAUGCCACUCACCUUGCGUCGCUGGACCACCGCGGUCACAGGCAGAAUCCUUUCGUUCAGUAUCCAGCGCAAGCAAAUCUGAAUCCGCACGCGCAAGCCUUCCGUUGCCGAGUCAGCCCUCCUUCUGCUGACUGCUUCUGCAGUAGCAAGUCGCGCCACCUGCACCUGUUAUCACCACAAGAUGUUCUACUACACCUAUAUGUUCUACUUACGACUAAACACCGGUGGUGGUGAAGUUCUACUACGGCUAUACGCUACGUUCUACUACAGUUGUAUGUCAGCGACCAUGAAAAUUCUACUACAGAUGUACGCCAAGUUGUACUACAGUUAUACACCGGCCGUCACAGUGGUUCACAUAACUCCUGAGUGGUUACAGGACGUGUGUGUGCGUGUGUGCUUGUAGGAUUGUUGGACGUGUGUUGGCCAAAGCAAUAGGCUUGCUCUCAACACCAUAUCCUUAUAUUUUUAUCUCUUGCUAUUUACUUCA